rnacentral:sRNA from 1 species
GGAUUACUCCUUUGCGCUUUCACGCUUGGUUGAUAAAGAUUCGCACCUUUAUCAAACCGGGUAGUAAGCCCAUCCUUUGGCAAGACCUACUGGCUGAUCAAAUCUGAAUUACUACAUGUUAAUGAAAUACUUCGUAUAUCGGGAUCAUAAAAUACAGCACCGCUAUCUGACACAAGAAAAAAAUUCAUAU